AUUUUCAAAUUGUUUUUGGAAACACUGGACGUCGUGUCCUCCGGACCAAAGAGGAAGCGGACCAUCCGGACUGUUAUCAACGCAAAGUUCAAAAGCCAGCAUCUGUGAUGGUAUGGGGGUGCAUUAGUUCCCAUGGCAUAGGUGACUUACAUUUCUGUGAA